UUAAAUCUUGAUUUAGAUUACAAUAAUUCAUUUAAAAAGUAUAACUAUAUAAAUUAUAAAUGAAAAUAUUUUAUCCCCUCGUGGGGCGAGGCAACAAUUAGCGUAUUUUUCUGCCACCCCAAUUCAUGACUGCUUACUGGCUGGAAGCCGAUAAUUCAGCUUGCCUAUUGGCCAUAUAAAGGCGGUCAGGCACAACGCUAAUUGUUGCCUCGCCCCCAGACGAGGGGAUAAAAUAGUUGUUUACUACUAUUUGAUCAGUUACUGAUUUGUAAGCUAUAGUUAGUAUAUUUAGUAGACGGAGUGAAGCGAUGUCUCUACAGCGUAAGAAUCAUACAAAGCUCUGGGGGGGACUGAAAGUUGUUUCAUUUUGUGGCUGAAGUGAUUGGAUAGGACAAUGUGUUCAAAAGAGUGCCUUAAAUUUUGAUGAUUUUCUUGAUGUAGAGCAGAUUUCUGAACCUUUGAUUGAGUAAGAUGCUCAAAAUUCCCACUUUUAAAUCUGCAGUGAAGACUUAACUUUUGAAAUAUCAGUCUGCAAUUGGCUUCAAUGCCAUCUAUUCUUUUUACCUCUGAAUUAUCCGCCUAUCUACCUACCUAUCUACCGAUCUAUCUACUUACCUAUCUACCUACGCGAUAUAUGAUCGAUUGCUAAUAGAAUUAAGAAUGUUAUCUACCCACCCAUCUGUCCACCUCACUGCAAAUGAUAUCUAAUUGAUUGCUGAUGAAAUAUAGAAUGCUAGAUAGAUGUCUACAUAUCCGCCUAUGUAUCUGCCUACCUAUCUGCGCGAUAUCAGACCAAUUGCUGGUAGAAUUGAGAAUGCUAGCUAGAUAGCUAGCUAUCUAUCUACCUCUCUACCUUUCAACCAACAUAACUGCUCAAUAUUCAAUCAAUUUCUAUAAGAAUAAACAUCACCAUCUAGUUACCAACCGACCUGGCAAUGCUGGCUUAUUCGAUGACUAUCCGGCUGUCUAUCUGUCCAUUUAUCUGCUCACCUGCUUGAAUGAAUGAUAUCUACCAAUGGUAUAUAUUGAUGACGAUAUAUAUCGAUGAUAUAGCGAUGAUGAUAGCUAGCGAUGAUAUAUAUCGAUGAUAGCUAGCAGUGAUAUUAAUAUGACUUUGCACUUUUUGCUCCAUUCUGCUCAGCUGUAUGUUUCAUAAAGCUUUUGCUAUACAGUCUUAUGCCUGAGCUGUUCACCUUUCCAAAGCAAUUAAAGAUGCAUUUCAUGCCCUGGGACUUAAAGAUUCAUUUGCCAAGUCUAUGCGGAGGGCAGACUACCUUUAGUAUCUAUAUAAAUUCAAUAUAUAGUUAUUUAAUUAUAUACUAGUCAAAGAUUAGUCACAGACUAGUUAAUACUAUUUUUCAAUUAUUAUAAUUCUUAAAUACUAUGACAGAUUAUAUCUGUUAAUAGUUAAUUUACAAAAUCAACUCUUUUACCACUCAUUCACUCUUUAAUAUACCCAUACAUGUCUACAAAACACUCCUCUUUUUAUAAUUCCACUCUGUAAUUAUAUAGUCAGCUAAGUCAUUUAAGAUAUCAGUCAAUAUAUAUUCAAAAUCUAGAAUUUUAAAGUGAUAAUUUAUGUUAUUUUUAAUGAUUAAUUAAUCUAUUUAAACUAGCAUACUUUAAAUGUAAAUCUAUAAUUCAUUUUGAAUCAGUUUUGUUUUAAUUUAUUUAUUUAUAGUUUUAUUCUACUUGUUUUCAUCUAUAUUUGAAUUUUUUAUUUUUUUAAAAUCAAAGUUGUAUUUUUAAAGUGUGUGAUCAGAUUAAGAUCAAGUAGAAAAGAGAUAUAAUUCCACUCACUAGUUUACAGCAAUCUGUAACAUUGAUUCAUGAUGCAAUUUCUACAGUCUGGACCAUAUUUUAGACAUUCAUGAUUGAAGUUACAUGAUUGCUCCUCGC
rnacentral:sRNA from 2 species